AUCAGCAUCACCGGGCGGCAGCCAAAGCGGGUCACGAGGAUGCUGGACACCGGGCCUGCAGGCAGGAAGGGUCACCACUCGGGCUGGCCCAAUCUCCUCUCCGUUGGACACACUGCAGGCUUUGCACCUCCCAGCCCUGGAGGAGGAUGGCUCCAAGGAUGCGAUGACAGAGGCGGGCAUCAUGAAAGAAGAACAGAUCCCUGGGACUGCCGUGCAGCCUCUGGCCCAGCUGCUGCCCUCUGCUUCUGGUGACCCCAGGCAUCUGCUCGUGGAGUCUUUGCCUGGCCAGAGGCUCAUUACUGCACCUUCAGAGUAGCAGGGGCUGCGGGGGAGGCACCACGAUCGAGGUUUCUUAGCCUUUUCAGACUCCACAGAAUCCAUCAGAUUCUUGAGACCAUCUAGGAAAACAUCCUCCAAAAAGUCGCCUUGGAUCCCAAAACCCAAUCACCAACAUUCUCACAUAAAGGUAACAAACUGGAGGCGAUGCCAACUCAAACUGACAGAAUAAAACUGUUGCAGUACGUUUUCCUUCUGCUUUCAUCGGAAGGUGCCUACUGAUGGUAAAACCUGCCAUCAUUUUCCCUAACCUGUGAGUCACAGACAGAACAGUGACGUCCUAGGAAUGUGGUUUGAGAGCACCGGUUUAGAAGGUUUUAUCAUCAGGUCCCCACGAAGUUUCGCACACACCUGUUGCAGGGACUUUUGGGGUGGCACCGUGCUGCCCUCUGACAUAGGUCUGCAAAGUAGGCGUUUCUACCAUUCGUGAGCUUAGUCAUCUGUCUCCCCACUGGCCCACCCUUCCAUUCCUGAUCCAUGUAGUCACCUGCCGAACACCGACCUAUCCACACACCUCUGUGCCGAAAUCCAUCAUCCUGGCCAGGCAUCACCCAUGUGUCCGCCCACCCACUCAUCCACGACCUAAGUGGGCAACCACCCAUGGACCCCUAAUUCACUGUGUAUCCACUAAUCCAUCCAUUGCCACUUGCCCACCUGCCUGCUCUGCCACCUAUCCACCCACUCACAUACCUCUCCAAUCACCCAUCAGCCUAAGCAUGUACCCCACAUCUAUGCCUCCUCCCAUGCCCACAACCACCCAUUCGAUCCCCACUGAUCCACCCAUCUACCUAUCCGCUCACACAAGCUGCAUCCACCUGCCCACAGGCCAGUCUCUUCUGUCCACCAUCCACUAACCCAUACGCCACCCUCGCAUGUACCUGCUGAUUCCUCCAUCAAUCUAUGCAUUCAUUCAUUCAUGCCUCUAUUCCUGCCUUCCUCCAUUCCUUCUCCCUUAGCAGGAGCGGGAGUGGGUCACACAAGUCUCCUGCCCAUAAAGCCCUGUGGGGGGCACUGCCUGGCUCUAGCAAAUGCCCACCUUCCCCUUUUUUCUCCAGCAGCGUGAUCCCAACACCCUUUCUUUUUGUCUGCCAACCCCUGCUCUCCUCCAGGCUUGCUGGCGACCACAAUGUAUUUCCUCAAUGCCCCCUUCCACUUGUGGUGUCAGAAACAGCCCAGUUUAGGUUCUUUAAGGAUUUCCAUUGUGCAUGACUGCAAGGAGGAGAGCACAUUUGCCCUGAAGGUCCCAGCACCGCCUCUGUGCCCUGCCUGGGGAGGCCCACCUCCCCAUCCAUCCCUCCAUCAAGCCCUGACUGACUCUCAGGGCACAGAGGGAAAGCUGCCACCUCCUUCACAGUGUCAGGUGCCCAGCAGGUCCUCAAGCAAUAAGGUUUCUGCAAUGUUCCACGCUCGUGAGCGAGCUUUCCCCAUCCUCUACCACCCUCUCGAAGGCUGAAACCCUGAACUUGGUAAGGAGGCUCUUCCUACUCUCGUUGAAUGGAUGCGGGAGGCAGGAGAAGCCUCCCUCAGGGAAGUCUGAGUCGCAGCUGGAGUUCAGGCCUCCCGGGGUCCUCCUUCCAACCCAUCCUGCGCCCCCGGA